rnacentral:rRNA from 1 species
UGGGGGAUAUUGCACAAUGGGGGAAACCCUGAUGCAGCGACGCCGCGUGGAGGAAGAAGGUUUUCGGAUUGUAAACUCCUGUCGUUAGGGACGAUAAUGACGGUACCUAACAAGAAAGCACCGGCUAACUACGUGCCAGCAGCCGCGGUAAAACGUAGGGUGCAAGCGUUGUCCGGAAUUACUGGGUGUAAAGGGAGCGCAGGCGGGAAGACAAGUUGGAAGUGAAAACCAUGGGCUCAACCCAUGAAUUGCUUUCAAAACUGUUUUUCUUGAGUAGUGCAGAGGUAGAUGGAAUUCCCGGUGUAGCGGUGGAAUGCGUAGAUAUCGGGAGGAACACCAGUGGCGAAGGCGGUCUACUGGGCACCAACUGACGCUGAGGCUCGAAAGCAUGGGUAGCAAACAGGAUUAGAUACCCUGGUAGUCCAUGCCGUAAACGAUGAUUACUAGGUGUUGGGAGAUUGACCCUCUCAGUGCCGCAGUUAACACAAUAAGUAAUCCACCUGGGGAGUACGACCGCAAGGUUGAAACUCAAAGGAAUUGACGGGGGCCCGCACAAGCAGUGGAGUAUGUGGUUUAAUUCGAAGCAACGCGAAGAACCUUACCAGGUCUUGACAUCCCGAUGACCGGUUCAGAGAUGAGCCUUUUCUUCGGAACAUCGGAGACAGGUGGUGCAUGGUUGUCGUCAGCUCGUGUCGUGAGAUGUUGGGUUAAGUCCCGCAACGAGCGCAACCCUUAUUGCCAGUUACUACGUUAAGAGGACUCUGGCGAGACUGCCGUUGACAAAACGGAGGAAGGUGGGGAUGACGUCAAAUCAUCAUGCCCUUUAUGACCUGGGCUACACACGUACUACAAUGGCGUUAAACAAAGAGAAGCAAGACCGCGAGGUGGAGCAAAACUCAAAAACAACGUCUCAGUUCAGAUUGCAGGCUGCAACUCGCCUGCAUGAAGAUGGAAUUGCUAGUAAUCGCAGAUCAGCAUGCUGCGGUGAAUACGUUCCC